AAACAUAUUGGAUCUGCAUCUGGUGGUGAUUCGAAGGUGUUUUAUUUGAAAAUGAAAGGUGAUUAUUGUAGGUAUUUGGCUGAGUUUAAGACUGGAGAUGAGAGGAAGCUGGUGAUAUGAACUAAUGGUCAAUAGAGGUUAGAACGAAUUAGUCAACAGAGGUUAAAAGAGGGUUAGUCAACCGAGGUUAAAAGGGUUAGUCAACAGAGGUUAAAAGGGAUCAAGCAACAAAGGUUAAAAGAGUCAGUUAACAUAGGUUAGCAGGUUGUUGAGUUAGUUGGACAACUGGCUGGAUGUUAGUUGUUAGUUGAGAGGUAGUUAGAGGAAUGUUACUUGUUAGUUGGAAUGUGAGGGUACAAAAGGAAAGAUUAUAGUAGUGUUUGGUGAUGCGGUUUUAUUUUUAGUUAUCUCACUUUAUUUUCCGUAGAUGAUUAUGAUAGGUUUCGAAUAAGACUAUUACUAUUCCUGCUGUGGAAGUAGAGCCGCCUGGAUACUCAUACAAUCCAUCAUCUGAAAGUCAUCAAGAUUCAUUGGCUCAAGCUGUUGCAGAUGAAAUGCAGAAAAUUUAUACGAAAGAAUUGCGUCCAAAACCUGUUCCUUUAAUUGUUGAAGGGGGAGUUAUUGAUGAGGAAGAUGUGGAACAGGACAUUCUAAAUCAGCGCUGAAGGUUUAAGAGGGAUUGGAAUCAAGCCAUGUGAAAAGCUAGAACUUUUUGCUGACAAUUCUUUUCGGUGGCUUAUUGAUGGAUUGCAUUUCGAUAGUAAUCGAUCCUUAAUAGUAAACUUAACAUCUGCAGUGCUUUUUUAUUAUAACUUAUCCAUAUCUAAUGCAUGAUUAUUUAUGUUUGUUCCCUGUAUCAUAACCUUGAAAUUAUAAACUACAUGUAUGGUUUAUAACA